rnacentral:tRNA from 1 species
AAGCUUGAGUAUAGGUUUUGUAUAUUUUAUUGUCUGUAAAUUGGUUAAGGCUUU